rnacentral:rRNA from 1 species
UGCGCAGGUGGGAAUGUAAGUCAGUGGUGAAAUACUGCCGCUUAACGGUAGAAUUGCCAUUGAUACUGCAUUUCUUGAGUAUGGUUGAGGUAGGCGGAAUGUGUCGUGUAGCGGUGAAAUGCAUAGAUAUGACACAGAACGCCGAUUGCGAAGGCAGCUUACUAAGCCAUUACUGACACUGAGGCACGAAAGCGUGGGUAGCGAACAGGAUUAGAUACCCUGGUAGUCC